AGAUCGGAUUGAAAUGGAUUUAACAAAUGAGUGCUGGCGUCACCGCUAGGCGGCCACGCCGCGGGAGAUUUUCUCGUGAGUCGAGGGCGGCCACAGUCGUUAUAUCUAGGUGCCACCGCGGCGGACACCCCAGCUCAUACUAACGGUAGUGACAAUUCAGCAGAAAGAAGAAUUAACUUAUUUAUUUUUUAUAUAUUU